rnacentral:rRNA from 1 species
CAGUAGCCGCGGUAAUACGAAGGGGGCUAGCGUUGCUCGGAAUCACUGGGCGUAAAGGGUGCGUAGGCGGGUCUUUAAGUCAGGGGUGAAAUCCUGGAGCUCAACUCCAGAACUGCCUUUGAUACUGAAGAUCUUGAGUUCGGGAGAGGUGAGUGGAACUGCGAGUGUAGAGGUGAAAUUCGUAGAUAUCCGCAAGAACACCAGUGGCGAAGGCGGCUCACUGGCCCGAUACUGACGCUGAGGCACGAAAGCGUGGGGAGCAAACAGGAUUAGAUACCCCUGUAGUCCCUGUCUCUUAUAC